UUGCUCCCGGAUGUUAGCGGCGGACGGGUGAGUAACACGUGGGUAACCUGCCUGUAAGACUGGGAUAACUCCGGGAAACCGGAGCUAAUACCGGAUAGUUCCUUGAACCGCAUGGUUCAAGGAUGAAAGACGGUUUCGGCUGUCACUUACAGAUGGACCCGCGGCGCAUUAGCUAGUUGGUGAGGUAACGGCUCACCAAGGCGACGAUGCGUAGCCGACCUGAGAGGGUGAUCGGCCACACUGGGACUGAGACACGGCCCAGACUCCUACGGGAGGCAGCAGUAGGGAAUCUUCCGCAAUGGACGAAAGUCUGACGGAGCAACGCCGCGUGAGUGAUGAAGGUUUUCGGAUCGUAAAGCUCUGUUGUUAGGGAAGAACAAGUGCAAGAGUAACUGCUUGCACCUUGACGGUACCUAACCAGAAAGCCACGGCUAACUACGUGCCAGCAGCCGCGGUAAUACGUAGGUGGCAAGCGUUGUCCGGAAUUAUUGGGCGUAAAGGGCUCGCAGGCGGUUUCUUAAGUCUGAUGUGAAAGCCCCCGGCUCAACCGGGGAGGGUCAUUGGAAACUGGGAAACUUGAGUGCAGAAGAGGAGAGUGGAAUUCCACGUGUAGCGGUGAAAUGCGUAGAGAUGUGGAGGA
rnacentral:rRNA from 1 species